UGGGGGAAACCCUGAUCCAGCGACGCCGCGUGUGUGAAGAAGGCCUGCGGGUUGUAAAGCACUUUUAGUGGGGAUGAAAAGCUCAGGGCUAAUACCCCUGGGUCUUGACCUAACCCACAGAAAAAGCACCGGCUAACUCUGUGCCAGCAGCCGCGGUAAUACAGAGGGUGCAAGCGUUAAUCGGAAUUACUGGGCGUAAAGCGUGCGUAGACGGUCAUGUAAGUCGGGUGUGAAAGCCCCGGGCUCAACCUGGGAAUUGCAUUCGAGACUGCAUGGCUAGGGUGCGGAAGAGGGAAGCGGAAUUUCCGGUGUAGCGGUGAAAUGCGUAGAUAUCGGAAGGAACACCAGUGGCGAAAGCGGCUUCCUGGUCCAGCACCGACGUUCAGGCACGAAAGCGUGGGGAGCAAACAGGAUUAGAUACCCUGGUAGUCCACGCCAUAAACGAUGAGAACUAGACGUUGAAGGGGUAAGCCCUGCAGUGUCGUAGCU
rnacentral:rRNA from 1 species